GCCUUCGAAGUGUAGUGGUUAGCACGCUAGGCGCGUAUUCGAGAUGCCCGUGGUUCGAGUCCCGGCGAAAGUA
rnacentral:tRNA from 1 species